UACGUAGGGUGCGAGCGUUAAUCGGAAUUACUGGGCGUAAAGCGUGCGCAGGCGGCGCGUUAAGACAGGUGUGAAAGCCCCCGAGCUUAACUUGGGAAUUGCGCUUGUGACUGGCGUGCUGGAGUGUGGCAGAGGGAGGUGGAAUUCCACGUGUAGCAGUGAAAUUCGUAGAUAUUAGGAAGAACACCAGUGGCGAAGGCGGCUCACUGGCCCGGUACUGACGCUGAGGCGCGAAAGCGUGGGGGAGCAAACAGG
rnacentral:rRNA from 1 species